rnacentral:rRNA from 1 species
UACGUAGGGUGCGAGCGUUGUCCGGAUUUAUUGGGCGUAAAGAGCUCGUAGGUGGUUUGUCGCGUUGUCCGUGAAAACUCACAACUCAAUUGUGGGCGUGCGGGCGAUACGGGCAGACUGGAGUACUGCAGGGGAGACUGGAAUUCCUGGUGUAGCGGUGGAAUGCGCAGAUAUCAGGAGGAACACCGGUGGCGAAGGCGGGUCUCUGGGCAGUAACUGACGCUGAGGAGCGAAAGCGUGGGGAGCGAACAGG